GCUAGUGUAGUAUAGUGGUUAAAGUGAUGGACUAGGAUUCGGGAGACCUAGGUUUGCAUCCCUGGUUUGCCAUGGAAGCA
rnacentral:tRNA from 1 species